rnacentral:lncRNA from 1 species
GUGGCAGGGAAGUGGUGGGGCCUCCCUGGAGCUGCGCAGGGAGAAAGAUGUGCCAGUCAGAGGGGAAGGCGGGUUUUUCCGGGUGCCUUAGUGCCGGUUUCACUUAGUAGCUGAGCAGUCUUGAAUGGUCCCAUAUUCUAUGCUCUGUGUCCUGCCGUUGUGUGCUGUGAAUCGUGUUCAGGCAAGGUCUGAAGUUGCGACAUGGAUGCAUUGACCUAUGAUGAUGUGU